ACUCAAAUGAAUAGACGGGGACCCGCACAAGCGGUGGAGCAUGUGGUUUAAUUCGACGCAACGCGAAGAACCUUACCUGGACUAGAAUGUGAGGGAAUGUUGGUUAACGCCAUCAGUCCGGGAAACCGGACCCAAAACAAGGUGCUGCAUGGCUGUCGUCAGCUCGUGUCGUGAGAUGUUGGGUUAAGUCCCGCAACGAGCGCAACCCUUAACUUCAGUUGCCAUCAUUAAGUUGGGAACUCUGGAGUGACUGCCGUUGAUAAAACGGAGGAAGGUGGGGAUGAUGUCAAGUCAUCAUGGCCUUUAUGUUCAGGGCUACACACGUGCUACAAUGGCCGGUACAAAACGUCGCGAUCUCGUAAGAGGGAGCUAAUCGCAAAAACCGGUCUCAGUUCGGAUUGGAGUCUGCAACUCGACUCCAUGAAGUUGGAAUCGCUAGUAAUCGCGCAUCAGAACGGCGCGGUGAAUACGUUCCCGGGUCUUGCACACACCGCCCGU
rnacentral:rRNA from 1 species